AUUGAACGCUGGCGGCAGGCCUAACACAUGCAAGUCGAGCGGCUCGGCGGUCGGGUGAGUAAUGCCUAGGUAUCUGCCUGUUCGUGGGGGAUGACGUCCGGUACCGGGCGCUAAUACCGCAUCCUCUUUGCUGCGCCUAGGUGGGAUUAGCUAGUUGGUGGGGUAAAGGCCUACCAAGGCGACGAUCCGUAACUGGUCUGAGUGGAUGAGCAGUCACACUGGAACUGAGACACGGUCCAGACUCCUACGGGAGGCAGCAGUGGGGAAUAUUGGACAAGGGGCGAAAGCCUGAUCCAGCCAUGCCGCGUGUGUGAAGAAGGUCUUCGGAUUGUAAAGCACUUUAAGUUGGGAGGCGUUACCAACAGAAUAAGCACCGGCUAACUUCGUGCCAGCAGCCGCGGUAAUAC
rnacentral:rRNA from 1 species